rnacentral:rRNA from 1 species
CUUUUCUUGGUAUCUAGCGAGCUACCAUGCAAGUCGAGCGGAUGAAGGGAGCUUGCUCCUGGAUUCAGCGGCGGACGGGUGAGUAAUGCCUAGGAAUCUGCCUGGUAGUGGGGGAUAACGUCCGGAAACGGGCGCUAAUACCGCAUACGUCCUGAGGGAGAAAGUGGGGGAUCUUCGGACCUCACGCUAUCAGAUGAGCCUAGGUCGGAUUAGCUAGUUGGUGGGGUAAAGGCCUACCAAGGCGACGAUCCGUAACUGGUCUGAGAGGAUGAUCAGUCACACUGGAACUGAGACACGGUCCAGACUCCUACGGGAGGCAGCAGUGGGGAAUAUUGGACAAUGGGCGAAAGCCUGAUCCAGCCAUGCCGCGUGUGUGAAGAAGGUCUUCGGAUUGUAAAGCACUUUAAGUUGGGAGGAAGGGCAGUAAGUUAAUACCUUGCUGUUUUGACGUUACCAACAGAAUAAGCACCGGCUAACUUCGUGCCAGCAGCCGCGGUAAUACGAAGGGUGCAAGCGUUAAUCGGAAUUACUGGGCGUAAAGCGCGCGUAGGUGGUUCAGCAAGUUGGAUGUGAAAUCCCCGGGCUCAACCUGGGAACUGCAUCCAAAACUACUGAGCUAGAGUACGGUAGAGGGU